CUUCGCAUACGAGCAGCCUCCCGACGUUGCCUGCUUGCUCCGGCGACCAGGCCCUGCCGGCGACGGUGUCCUUCGGUAUCAAGUACGCAGCUGAGGCCACUUAGAGAUCGCUUCGUGAACAGGAGGAGAGAUCGGGAGAAGAGAUGACGAGGCCAUCGGAUUCGACAUCGAUCUCCACACAACACACGGACCCUGGCCCGGGUAUGGAGAAUCCGUAUGAACGAAGUAGAGAAGACAGACAAAUAGGAGCGCAACCCAUUUAUGCCUUGCCAUCGAACGAUUGGGGUAUCAUGUUCUACAUCAGGAUGGAUCACUCGGGAUCUUUCCACACAUAUCCUCGUGUUGGUGGGCCAUUUCAGAGCCUCCAGGAAGCUCAAGAUGGUAUCGAGUGCUAUCUGAUUGAGCGCGAGGAUCCAAAAAUGUUCCUGGGUGCGGUGUCUGAUAUUGAGAUGCGUUCAAUACGUCGUAAAUAUUGGCCUGAUGGCACAAGGAAGAUGCCUCCAGAAUUUUAUCUAGUGGACAUAACCCGUAAUUGG